rnacentral:rRNA from 1 species
AAUACGGAGGGUGCAAGCGUUUAAUCGGAAUUUAUCUGGGCGUAAAAGCGCACGCCAGGCGGGUUUGGUUAAGUCAGAUGUGAAAAUCCCCCGGGCUCCACCCUGGGAAACUGCAUCCUGAUACUGGCAAGCUUGAGUCUCGUAGAGGGGGGGUAGAAUUCCCAGGUGUAGCGGUGAAAUGCGUAGAGAUCUGGAGGAAUACCGGUGGCGAAGGCGGCCCCCCUGGACGAAGACUGACGCUCAGGUGCGAAAGCGUGGGGAGCAAACAGGAUUAGAUACCCUGGUAGUCCACGCCGUAAACGAUGUCGACUUGGAGGUUGUGCCCUUGAGGCGUGGCUUCCGGAGCUAACGCGUUAAGUCGACCGCCUGGGGAGUACGGCCGCAAGGUUAAAACUCAAAUGAAUUGACGGGGGCCCGCACAAGCGGUGGAGCAUGUGGUUUAAUUCGAUGCAACGCGAAGAACCUUACCUGGUCUUGACAUCCACGGAAGUUUUCAGAGAUGAGAAUGUGCCUUCGGGAACCGUGAGACAGGUGCUGCAUGGCUGUCGUCAGCUCGUGUUGUGAAAUGUUGGGUUAAGUCCCGCAACGAGCGCAACCCUUAUCCUUUGUUGCCAGCGGUCCGGCCGGGAACUCAAAGGAGACUGCCAGUGAUAAACUGGAGGAAGGUGGGGAUGACGUCAAGUCAUCAUGGCCCUUACGACCAGGGCUACACACGUGCUACAAUGGCGCAUACAAAGAGAAGCGACCUCGCGAGAGCAAGCGGACCUCAUAAAGUGCGUCGUAGUCCGGAUUGGAGUCUGCAACUCGACUCCAUGAAGUCGGAAUCGCUAGUAAUCGUGGAUCAGAAUGCCACGGUGAAUACGUUCCCGGGCCUUGUACACACCGCCCGUCACACCAUGGGAGUGGGUUGCAAAAGAAGUAGGUAGCUUAACCUUCGGGAGGGCGCUU